rnacentral:tRNA from 1 species
UGGUGUAGCUCAAUUGGUAGAGCAGCUGACUUGUAAUCAGCAGGUUGUAGGUUCAAGUCCUAUCGCC